CAGUAGCCACGGUAAUACGUAGGGUGCAAGCGUUAAUCGGAAUUACUGGGCGUAAAGCGUGCGCAGGCGGUUUUGUAAGACAGAGGUGAAAUCCCCGGGCUCAACCUGGGAACUGCCUUUGUGACUGCAAGGCUAGAGUACGGCAGAGGGGGAUGGAAUUCCGCGUGUAGCAGUGAAAUGCGUAGAUAUGCGGAGGAACACCGAUGGCGAAGGCAAUCCCCUGGGCCUGUACUGACGCUCAUGCACGAAAGCGUGGGGAGCAAACAGGAUUAGAUACCCCGGUAGUCCCUGUCUCUUAUAC
rnacentral:rRNA from 1 species